CUUUGAUUAACGCCAUUGGAGAAACUGAGAUGCGGAAGUCGGCGUGACGAUUCCGUUGGUUGGGGUUUCGAUCACGUCCUUUCACCUUCUUUCCUUCCAUCGAAACGAGAUAGCUUCCAGAUCCAUUGUAUUAAACAUUCCACGAUCUACACUUCAAUGUAUGUUAAUCUUCUUAGAGGCGGUGUUUCUACGGUAUAAAAAGGAGAAACAAAGGUAUCAACUUUAAGAAAUGGAGGCGAUGAUGCCGUAGCAGAAGCUCCGCCUUGGAAUCUGAGGACGAGGCGAGCUGCUUGUAACGGACCUGGAGAUGAGCCCACGAGGAUCACUGGCGUCAAGAGAGGUAGUAACGAAGGAGGUGGUGAUGGAGAUUCGCAGAAACUGAAAUUCUCUGUUUCUUUUGUUUCUUUGUUGAGGGAAUUAGUCGAAAAAGAUUUCACGGCCUUCGAUGGGAAAAAACCUCCUACAAGACCAAAGAAGAGACAAGAGAUAUUCAUAGUCAAAUGAAUAGGAAGUAACAGCAGGCUCUUAUGAUUUAUGACGUCUCUGAUGCUGCGGAAACAUGAUCAAAGGUGUGAUUCCUUGGUUUCUUCAGUUUAGAGUCCACAAAAAUCAUGUUCUAUCAACUUUGUUUUAAACUUUUUCAGUUGUAAAAAGGAAGAACAAAUAUAGCAAUGUUCCAUUUUUUAGUGAAUGAAGCUAUUUUACUAUGUUUCUUAA